rnacentral:lncRNA from 1 species
UCAUUACUGUCAGUCAGACAGAAAUAAAAGAAAAAUGGAUGCCGUUCAGACGUACACGCAUUAUUUGGAACUGAAAAUUACGUAAUUUAUCGACCUGCUGGCUUGUAUUUGUUAUAAAUCAUAAAAAAAUUAUGGAAAACAUCAUGAACAAUAAUGAAACAAACCGAACCUUUAGCUACAAUAAUAAAAUGACCCCAUGACGCCAGUGGAACUACGUGGUUUUCUUUCAUGAUGAUUUGAUGAUACCAUAAUGGAAUUAGCCAAGUUUUCGCCGUAUUGGGUGCUAGAUGCCCCUUGGAGUUAAGCCCCAGUGCCACUAUACUACCUUACCAGUUAUGUGUGGGUGUUAUAGUCCUAAGACACCCCGGAGGUACAAAGGGCCUUCACAAACUCACGCCACGCCUUCCUAUCUUCAGCGACCCUCGUGACCUCGCUGCCACUCACAGCUCCUUUUCGACGGACCGCUUCCAUGAGUAGACAAGGCACCGACGAUCACGGCUUGCAUCACCUGUACUGCUUCGUAAUAUAGUAUGCUGAACACCGCUGCCAUUAUACUAGGAACAACGUCCUGCCCCUUCCCCGGCUGCGCACAAAUUGGAACUCCAUGCCCCUGCAUGCCCCUUCGACUGAGCAACGUGUGUGUGCUCGAAACACAUUCACUUGCAACAAAAUGACUCCCAGGCUGACCUGGCUCAGCUUUUGUAUGUCUGAUCUACAUAGACAAUGGUUUCAAUGAAAGAGUGAAAAUUCUUCUCCAUGUACAAUCACUUCCAACGCCUACACUGACUACACCAAAUAUGAUCAUCACUCAACGUGUCUCAUAUCAAGAUACUUUUUAAAAGUCAUCAAGAAGGAACAUAAUAUCUUUUCCCAUGGUUUCCUGAAUAAUCCUAACUAAAAGUUACUUCUCUAUUCUAUUUUUCCUGCAUGGAGUGGCGCUUUUCCGUCUAAUGGAACCAACAAGAACAUGUAUGCUCUGGGUUUUUUUUGUGCACCUUUCCGAUAUUACUAAUAAAGCAUUU